UACGUAGGGACCAAGCGUUGUUCGGAUUUACUGGGCGUAAAGGGCGCGUAGGCGGCUUAACAAGUCACUUGUGAAAUCUCCGGGCUUAACUCGGAACGGCCAAGUGAAACUGUCAAGCUAGAGUGCAGAAGGGGCAAUCGGAAUUCUUGGUGUAGCGGUGAAAUGCGUAGAUAUCAAGAGGAACACCUGCGGCGAAGGCGGGUUGCUGGGCUGACACUGACGCUGAGGCGCGAAAGCUAGGGGAGCGAACGGG
rnacentral:rRNA from 1 species